rnacentral:misc_RNA from 1 species
GGAGGAUUACAAUCGAUUAAGACCUUUGAGCUACCGUGGGGCUGAUGUUUUUCUGUUGGCCUUCUCUCUUAUCAGUAAGGCCAGCUAUGAGAAUGUUUCUAAGAAGUGGAUUCCUGAACUGAGGCACUAUGCUCCUGGCGUUCCCAUAAUUCUUGUCGGCACAAAACUUGACCUCCGUGAUGAUAAACAGUUCUUUAUCGAUCACCCUGGUGCUGUUCCCAUUACUACUGCACAGGGCGAAGAGCUGAGGAAGACGAUAGGCGCACCUGCCUAUAUCGAGUGCAGUUCAAAGACCCAACAAAAUGUAAAGGGAGUUUUCGAUGCAGCCAUUAAGGUUGUGCUCCAGCCACCAAAGCAAAAG